rnacentral:rRNA from 1 species
GAUGAACGCUAGCGGCAGGCCUAACACAUGCAAGUCGAGGGGUAGCAGGAUUAAGCUUGCUUAAUUGCUGACGACCGGCGCACGGGUGCGUAACGCGUAUGCAACCUACCUUAUACUGGGGUAUAGCCCGGAGAAAUUCGGAUUAAUCCCCCAUAGUGCUAAUGAAUCGCAUGGUUUAUUAGUUAAAGCAUUGCGGUAGAAGAUGGGCAUGCGUCCUAUUAGUUAGAUGGUGAGGUAACGGCUCACCAUGGCUACGAUAGGUAGGGGGCACGAGGGGGUGGUCACCCAAACUAGUGCUGAGACACGGACCAGACUCCUACGGGAGGCAGCAGUGAGGAAUAUUGGUCAAUGGGCGCAAGCCUGAACCAGCCAUGCCGCGUGCAGGAAGAAUGCCCUAUGGGUUGUAAACUGCUUUUAUUUGGGAAUAAACCUCUUUACGUGUAGAGAGCUGAAGGUACCAAAUGAAUAAGCACCGGCUAACUCCGUGCCAGCAGCCGCCGUAA